rnacentral:misc_RNA from 1 species
AACGGUCUAUACCUGCGGUACCUGCGGAGGGAUCAUUAUCAAUUUACAGCGGACUUCGGUCCUGUCUGCACCCUUGUCUUUUGCGUACUAUAUGUUUCCUCGGUGGGCUUGCCUGCCGAUAGGACACUUAUAAACUCUUUUGUAAUUGCAAUCAGCGUCAGAAAACUAUAAUAGUUACAACUUUUAACAAGGAUCUCU